rnacentral:tRNA from 1 species
GGCGGAGUAGCUCAGUCGGUUAGAGCGUCGGAAUCAUAAUCCGUAGGUCCGGGGUUCGAAUCCCUGCUCCGCUA